AUUGAACGCUGGCGGCAGGCCUAACACAUGCAAGUCGAGCGUAUGAAGGGAGCUUGCUCCUGGAUUCAGCGGCGGACGGGUGAGUAAUGCCUAGGAAUCUGCCUGGUAGUGGGGGAUAACGUCCGGAAACGGGCGCUAAUACCGCAUACGUCCUGAGGGAGAAAGUGGGGGAUCUUCGGACCUCACGCUAUCAGAUGAGCCUAGGUCGGAUUAGCUAGUUGGUGGGGUAAAGGCCUACCAAGGCGACGAUCCGUAACUGGUCUGAGAGGAUGAUCAGUCACACUGGAACUGAGACACGGUCCAGACUCCUACGGGAGGCAGCAGUGGGGAAUAUUGGACAAUGGGCGAAAGCCUGAUCCAGCCAUGCCGCGUGUGUGAAGAAGGUCUUCGGAUUGUAAAGCACUUUAAGUUGGGAGGAAGGGCAGUAAGUUAAUACCUUGCUGUUUUGACGUUACCAACAGAAUAAGCACCGGCUAACUUCGUG
rnacentral:rRNA from 1 species